AGAGUUUGAUCAUGGCUCAGAUUGAACGCUGGCGGCAGGCCUAACACAUGCAAGUCGAACGGUAACAGAAAGCAGCUUGCUGCUUUGCUGACGAGUGGCGGACGGGUGAGUAAUGUCUGGGAAACUGCCUGAUGGAGGGGGAUAACUACUGGAAACGGUAGCUAAUACCGCAUAACGUCGCAAGACCAAAGAGGGGGACCUUCGGGCCUCUUGCCAUCGGAUGUGCCCAGAUGGGAUUAGCUUGUUGGUGGGGUAACGGCUCACCAAGGCGACGAUCCCUAGCUGGUCUGAGAGGAUGACCAGCCACACUGGAACUGAGACACGGUCCAGACUCCUACGGGAGGCAGCAGUGGGGAAUAUUGCACAAUGGGCGCAAGCCUGAUGCAGCCAUGCCGCGUGUAUGAAGAAGGCCUUCGGGUUGUAAAGUACUUUCAGCGGGGAGGAAGGGAGUAAAGUUAAUACCUUUGCUCAUUGACGUUACCCGCAGAAGAAGCACCGGCUAACUCCGUGCCAGCAGCCGCGGUAAUACGGAGGGUGCAAGCGUUAAUCGGAAUUACUGGGCGUAAAGCGCACGCAGGCGGUUUGUUAAGUCAGAUGUGAAAUCCCCGGGCUCAACCUGGGAACUGCAUCUGAUACUGGCAAGCUUGAGUCUCGUAGAGGGGGGUAGAAUUCCAGGUGUAGCGGUGAAAUGCGUAGAGAUCUGGAGGAAUACCGGUGGCGAAGGCGGCCCCCUGGACGAAGACUGACGCUCAGGUGCGAAAGCGUGGGGAGCAAACAGGAUUAGAUACCCUGGUAGUCCACGCCGUAAACGAUGUCGACUUGGAGGUUGUGCCCUUGAGGCGUGGCUUCCGGAGCUAACGCGUUAAGUCGACCGCCUGGGGAGUACGGCCGCAAGGUUAAAACUCAAAUGAAUUGACGGGGGCCCGCACAAGCGGUGGAGCAUGUGGUUUAAUUCGAUGCAACGCGAAGAACCUUACCUGGUCUUGACAUCCACGGAAGUUUUCAGAGAUGAGAAUGUGCCUUCGGGAACCGUGAGACAGGUGCUGCAUGGCUGUCGUCAGCUCGUGUUGUGAAAUGUUGGGUUAAGUCCCGCAACGAGCGCAACCCUUAUCCUUUGUUGCCAGCGGUCCGGCCGGGAACUCAAAGGAGACUGCCAGUGAUAAACUGGAGGAAGGUGGGGAUGACGUCAAGUCAUCAUGGCCCUUACGACCAGGGCUACACACGUGCUACAAUGGCGCAUACAAAGAGAAGCGACCUCGCGAGAGUAAGCGGACCUCAUAAAGUGCGUCGUAGUCCGGAUUGGAGUCUGCAACUCGACUCCAUGAAGUCGGAAUCGCUAGUAAUCGUGGAUCAGAAUGCCACGGUGAAUACGUUCCCGGGCCUUGUACACACCGCCCGUCACACCAUGGGAGUGGGUUGCAAAAGAAGUAGGUAGCUUAACCUUCGGGAGGGCGCUUACCACUUUGUGAUUCAUGACUGGGGUGAAGUCGUAACAAGGUAACCGUAGGGGAACCUGCGGUUGGAUCACCU
rnacentral:rRNA from 1 species